UACGUAGGUGGCAAGCGUUGUCCGGAUUUACUGGGCGUAAAGGAUGCGUAGGCGGACAUUUAAGUCAGAUGUGAAAUACCCGAGCUUAACUUGGGUGCUGCAUUUGAAACUGGGUGUCUAGAGUGCAGGAGUGGUAAGUGGAAUUCCUAGUGUAGCGGUGAAAUGCGUAGAGAUUAGGAAGAACACCAGUGGCGAAGGCGACUUACUGGACUGUAACUGACGCUGAGGCAUGAAAGCGUGGGGAGCAAACAGG
rnacentral:rRNA from 1 species